rnacentral:rRNA from 1 species
AGAGUUUGAUCAUGGCUCAGAUUGAACGCUGGCGGCAUGCCUUACACAUGCAAGUCGAACGGCAGCACGGGAGCAAUCCUGGUGGCGAGUGGCGAACGGGUGAGUAAUAUAUCGGAACGUGCCCAGUCGUGGGGGAUAACGUAGCGAAAGCUACGCUAAUACCGCAUACGAUCUACGGAUGAAAGCGGGGGACUCGUAAGGGCCUCGCGCGAUUGGAGCGGCCGAUAUCAGAUUAGGUUGUUGGUGAGGUAAAAGCUCACCAAGCCUGCGAUCUGUAGCUGGUCUGAGAGGACGACCAGCCACACUGGAACUGAGACACGGUCCAGACUCCUACGGGAGGCAGCAGUGGGGAAUUUUGGACAAUGGACGCAAGUCUGAUCCAGCAAUGCCGCGUGCAGGACGAAGGCCUUCGGGUUGUAAACUGCUUUUGUACGGAACGAAACGGUCUUCUUUAAUACGGAGGGCUAAUGACGGUACCGUAAGAAUA